rnacentral:lncRNA from 1 species
GGCAGACUGGCGCUUCAGUUCACAGCACGGUCUCUUGCUGCUUCUAAUGAGGCUUCGUUAACAGCUGCACGAGGGAGCCACCUUGGGAGCAACACCUCCAGCCCCAGUCAAGCCUUGGGAUGACGGCAGCCCCAGCAGACAGCUUGAUGGAAACCUCAGGAAGACCCUGAUCCAGAACCACCCAGCUGAGCCCGGCCUUCCAGUCAUCUCCACAAGGCCCUAGACGUGUGAAGCAGGAAGCUAUCUGGACCCUCCGGACCAGCCCCGCCACCAGAUAAACACUGCUGAGUUAAUGCACAUGGAGCAGAAGAAUUGCCUGAGACUUGCACAGAUUCUUGACUUUGUGACAACUGUG